GCACGGGUUUGGAUUUGAGGCAGGUCUGAUCCCGUGGGCCUCUCACAGUGUCCUAUGCAAAAGCCAACUCAUCCUGAACCAUUGCCUGGCUUUACCCCGCGGGUUUCAGGCACUGAAGUGGGCUGCACAGUG